GAAGAAAACUUCAUAAGAUAAGCUAUACAUGAAUUUACAAAAAUCACAGAACAUGAGGAAGUGCAUCAGAAUAGAACAUAUGAGCAGAUUUUCAGAGCAAUCUCAUGGCAAUUUGGGCAUGUUAAUGAUGUCCAAAAAAUUCUCAAAUUUUGUCACGACCUAGGUCUGGGAAUGACAAUCAAAGUCCAUGAAGAACUCAUCAUCAAAAUCUUUACUGAAAAAUUCACACAAAAUUGGUAAAGUGCAAACACAGAAUUGGCACAUUAAGCAUUCCGAAUUUACAAUUUUCCAGAUUUCAGGGGAACCUCAUAAAAA